CCAUGUUUCGUGUUUACUCUGGGGAUAAUUAACAGAUUGGCCUCAGAGGAUCUUAGUGGUCUAGAAGGCUUUUCUAGUUGAAGCAUAUCAGUUAAAUAUUUUGGUCCUAAACCCAAAAUAUUUUUGGGUUCAGGUGCGCAAAGGCUGUUUUGACGGUGCACUGUAUAAAUGAGAGCACUGCGCCUAUAAGUGAGUGUACUGUAGGGAUAAUGAAGUGCACUCAAUGUAAGUUCCCUUACGUAAGUUCGCGAUUUCAGACCCAGCACUGGUCUACUGUUCUGCAAACAUUCCCCUGGUCAAUGAGAUGUCUGGCCUUGAACCCCCACCCUACAGGAAGUGAAGGUCUUUGUUCUCACCGCUGGGCGGGCCGUGGAGCGUUAGCGCUGUAGCGCCGCUGAUGGAUGGGCUAACACCAGCGCAAACACCCGCGCUAACACCAAGGCUAACACCCGCGCUAACACCAGCGCGAGCCCCUUCCUGCUAUUGUCCGGUGGCGCGGGACCCACAGGUACACCGGGGAACUAGUAGCCCGCUGUUAUCUCCAUGGAGACGGGGUCAGGCUAGGGUUACUAACCACUCUUUGAACUACUCUUAACCACUCUGCAAACUACUAGUAAACACCCUGUGAACUACUACUAAUCCCUCUGUGAACUACUACUAACCACUCUGUGAACUACUACUAACCACAUAGUGACCUACUACGAAUCCCUGUGAACUACUACUUAUCACUUGGUUAAUUUCUACUAAUCACUUGGUGAAGUACUGCAAUCACACAUUGAUAUAAAAGGGUUUGGGUUAAGUGAUGUGUGGAAGCAGUUGUAAAUGUAAAGGGGUCAUCAAGUUCUCAGACCUGAAACCGGGGUCACCGGUCAAGGAAGGUUGGCAGCCCCUGCCCUGGAGCAAGGCAUUCUGGGAACGCCGCUGUUCUGCAGGCCCCCCUGGAGCUGGGGACAGGAAGCCAGGCGGUAGCUGCUUCCUGUCGGCUGCAGGAGCUGAUUUACAGGGGCGGACUGGCCAUCGGGAAUACCGGGGACAUCCCCGGUGGGCCGAUGGCCGAAAAUAUAAUCCCACCGGCCCAUCAUCGCAUCAGCCGAAAUGAUUAACACAGCGGCACGGUACACACCCAGUCGGAUGAACUCUACCCAUUACUGUGAUGGACGUGGAGUAUACUUUUUU